UACGUAGGGCGCAAGCGUUAUCCGGAAUUAUUGGGCGUAAAGAGCUCGUAGGCGGUUUGUUGCGUCUGCCGUGAAAGUCCGGGGCUUAACCCCGGAUCUGCGGUGGGUACGGGCAGACUAGAGUGCAGUAGGGGAGACUGGAAUUCCUGGUGUAGCGGUGAAAUGCGCAGAUAUCAGGAGGAACACCGAUGGCGAAGGCAGGUCUCUGGGCUGUAACUGACGCUGAGGAGCGAAAGCAUGGGGAGCGAACAGG
rnacentral:rRNA from 1 species